AAAGAGGAGGGAGGAGAGGAAGGGGAGACAGAGAGAGGGAAGAAGUUGUUUUGGAAUUCGUCCUCGCGAUCUCCCCAGUGCUAUGCCCGUUGGAAUCCGAUUCGCGUCUCCGACAGCAAAAUAACCGUCUGAUCGGCCGUCUCCGGUGUUUGCCCUCGGUCUCCCGGCCGUGGAUCUGGGGGACCAAGUGGGGGACUAGGGAGAUCUGGUCUGACACUCGCUGGGAUUCUUCGAGACGUGAAUCUUCGUUCAUACAUCUCUCCUAUGUUCGAAAUCUCAAAGUUUUUGGGAUGGUAGAUUGAUUGAGGUUUGGAAAGGCAGCGGCUUGAAUUCAAGGGCACUGGUUCGAUGGAUGCGGAGGCCAUGGGGCUUGCGCUUCUUCGAAUAUGGAUGGUAGCUGCGGACUGAUGGAAGCUCGAUUCGUUCAUCUUCACAACGUCUCUCCUUGUUCUUUUCGUCGAUCUGUUUCUUUUCUCUUUCUUUCUUGUUUUUGUUCUUCUUUUCUUUGUGCAUGUGAUCUGAGUUGAUGAUCUGGUUUGAGCUGAAGGAAAUGGCACUUGGUGAGAGCACGGAGAGGCUAGGGAUGGCCUCGUUUAAAAACAGCAAAUAGUUUUUUUCUCUUGGUGAAUAUGCCAACGACUGGAAACAGAUCGGUAAAUUUUCAUUUUCUCUAUUUUUAUUUCUUUUGAUUCUUUGGUUAAUGGUCUAAAGAUGAAAACCUUUCAACUGGAAGAGAUGCAGAAGAACUAGGGAAGGUUGAGGUGAAGGAGGAGAAAGAGAA
rnacentral:lncRNA from 1 species